CAAAUCUCUGUUAUUAAAAUGUUUACCAUGUUUACCAAAAAAUAUACAAAUUUCUGUUAGCAUUAGCUCAACUUGUAACAUUGUAAAGCAUUUAAGGAUCCAACACUCCUAAUCCAAAUAAAAAAGGGGAAGGAGAAAAUAUCUAAGGCUCUUCGUCCAUUGAUUUAUUUUCCAAGAGACCUAAGAUUUUAACCCAAGCCAUAUUAGAUGAUUUAAUAACCGAUUUUAUUAUUGACAGCAUACAGCCAUUUUCAGUUGUUGAAAAUCCAUCAUUUAUAAAAAUUAUCCGAACAUUAGCUCCACAAAAAAAUAUAAUUUGCAGACAGACAGUUGUUGCUAGAAUUUCCCAAAGAUGGGAGAAUGAAAAGAAAGAAAUCAUUAAAAGUCUAAUAGAACCAUCGUUAAUAUGCACAACAGCAGAUUAUUGGAGUGCCUAUCGCCGGAGUCACAGCACAUUAUAUAGAUCCAACAAGUUUGGAAAGAAAAAAUGUAGCAUUGGCUUGUAAAAGAAAUAUUGGUAGUCAUACAUAUGAUAAAAUAGCAAAAAAUUUACAAGAUAUAGCAAAGGAUUAUUGCAUACAAAAUAAAAUCUCAAAGACCAUU